AAGGAUCAUUAAUGAGGGCGUAUUGGGCUGAAAACCCAAACGAACCCCCAAUCCUUUGCUUACUGUCCCUCUUGUGGUUUGCCUGGGCGUGGCUAAAUCGUAACCUUUUUAGGUUUCGAACAGCCUUUUACCGCCCAGAAGACUACCAAAAUUAAACAUUCUAGUAAUGAUGUGUCUGAGUGAAAUAUAAAGAAGCAAAACUUUCAACAACGGAUCUCUUGGUUCCGGCAUCGAUGAAGAACGCAGCGAAAUGCGAUAAGUAAUGUGGACCGCAGUACUCAGCGACUCAUCGAAUCUUUGAACGCAUAUUGCGCCCCUUGGUAUCCCCUAUGGGCACACCUGACCGAGCGUCAUAGUGGUCAAUCAGGAAACGCUAGCACAACUUGGUUAUGGGUUUAAUUUACUCUUAUGUGGACGCCUCAAAGUUAUUGGCGGUACAAUUAGGUGUUCCAGUGUAGUUAAACACUAGAGUCACUGUAGAAAUGCUUAUUUGUACUUAUUUCAAAACUUUUUUAGCAUCUACCAAAGUUUCUGCUGGCGGAAACUUAGUGGAUGUUCCCUAAA
rnacentral:misc_RNA from 1 species